GACGAACGCUGGCGGCGUGCCUAAUACAUGCAAGUCGAACGAGAGCGCCCGGUGCUUGCACUGGUCAAUCUAGUGGCGAACGGGUGAGUAACACGUGGGUAACCUGCCCAUCAGAGGGGGAUAACAUUCGGAAACGGAUGCUAAAACCGCAUAGGUCUUCGAACCGCAUGGUUUGAAGAGGAGAAGAGGCGCAAGCUUCUGCUGAUGGAUGGACCCGCGGUGCAUUAGCUAGUUGGUGAGGUAACGGCUCACCAAGGCCGUGGUGCAUAGCCGACCUGAGAGGGUGAUCGGCCACAUUGGGACUGAGACACGGCCCAAACUCCUACGGGAGGCAGCAGUAGGGAAUCUUCCGCAAUGGACGCAAGUCUGACGGAGCAACGCCGCGUGAGUGAAGAAGGUUUUCGGAUCGUAAAACUCUGUUGUUAGAGAAGAAUAAGUGCUAGAGUAACUGUUAGCGCCUUGACGGUAUCUAACCAGAAAGCCACGGCUAACUACGUG
rnacentral:rRNA from 1 species